UACGACGCCAACAGUGCCCUCUAUUCAAGGUAUGAUUACAUUGACAAGAUAGGAGGCACACAGAAAUACUGUUAUGUCACGAGGGCUCUCCUUGAUUCUUCAGGCGUAACAGAAGUCUAUCUCCCUCUUCUCUCCAAUGUCUCGAUCAAAACGACCUACAGCUGGUUUACUGCGCUCUCUCUGCGAGUUGGAAGCUACUACAAGGACCAUCGCAACUCUAACCGAGAGGGGUGCACAAGAGAGAAUUUGCUAUAAAAAAAAUGACAAGCGCAUAUACAUACUUGGAGUUUGGAGUAAAGGUUUGUGAUGACCUCCCUGUGUUUCAUAUUAAAGACACUUCACUAA